GUGCCAGCAGCCGCGGUAAUACGUAGGGUGCGAGCGUUGUCCGGAAUUAUUGGGCGUAAAGAGCUCGUAGGCGGUGUGUCGCGUCGGCCGUGAAAACCUGGGGCUUAACUCUGGGCGUGCGGUCGAUACGGGCAUCACUAGAGUUCGGCAGGGGAGACUGGAAUUCCUGGUGUAGCGGUGAAAUGCGCAGAUAUCAGGAGGAACACCGGUGGCGAAGGCGGGUCUCUGGGCCGAUACUGACGCUGAGGAGCGAAAGCAUGGGUAGCGAACAGGAUUAGAUACCCUGGUAGUCC
rnacentral:rRNA from 1 species